AUGCUCACUUUGGCAGCACACAUAUUAAAAAUUGGAAUGAUAGAGAAGAUUGGCAUGGCCCUAAACAAGAAUGGCAUGCAAAUUCAUGAAGCAUUCCAUACUUUU